CUUUGUCUGCCAUUGUAGGCAUGCAUGGGAGGGAGCCCAAACCCCGAGACCUCUCUCUGCAUCCAUGACUGUUUGCAGCUCCAGGCCUUCUUAGGAUCCAUCUCUCUUGCCUGCAAUCUCUCCAGCUCCUGCUCAGCAGCAAGACAAGGCUUUAAAGAAUUUCGUCCUGUCCUCUGUGAAUCCAGACUGACAAAGACACUCGGGGAAUGGUCCUGCCAGGGAAUCACUCUCAGAGACUGGCCUCAGACUGGAGCUUUGCCUGUAGGAUUCCAUUCGGUCUUUUCGGCCUUUCGUGGGGUUGGAACCCUGGGCAUGUGCGUGAUUGAGCAAUGAGAAAAUGGUGACCUGCGGUGUGAAGGGUCUCAAGUCUCCAGGUGUUGAGGGGAGGUCACAACCCCCCCCGCCCGCCCCCGCUAUCCUUGCGGGUUCUGACACUCCCCCCUCCACAGAUCUCUUGGGCUGACUUCAUCCGGGGACCAGCUCUCUAAGUCAAAAGAGGCUGGCUCCUUAGCUGCAGUAAGAGGCUGAGAGACCUGAUGAAAGGCGAUGGAUUCAAUCUUCCCCACAUCGUCACCUGGGACUCCAGCAGACGCAAACCGAUUAGGAAAAUGCGCGUUGAAAGCCUCCAGUAUAAUGGCCCGAAUCAUAGAAAACAUUUGGCCCGGAUGGAGGCGGAAAUCCCAUUUUCACCUAAGCUGCGGCCUUCAGGGAUUUCCCCUGCCCCCACCCCUCCCCCAUGUUUGAUAACCUUACCUCUUCCCCAAGACCAAUCAUUAGACUAA